rnacentral:rRNA from 1 species
CCCUUAGAUGUUCUGGGCUGCACGCGCGCUACACUGAAGCUAUCAACACGUUUUCCCUCCCUGAGAAGGGCGGGUAACCUUUUGAAUCAGCUUCGUGGUAGGGAUCGGGGCUUGCAAUUGUUCCCCGUGAACCAGGAAUUCCUAGUAGACGCGAGUCAUAAGCUCGCAUCGAUUAAGUCCCUGCCCUUUGUACACACCGCCCGUCGCUCCUACCGAUUGAAUGAUCCGAUGAAUAUCAUGGAUUGAGGAUGCAAGUAGGUUCGCCUAUCUUCAUCUUCGAGAAGUGAAGUAAAUCUUAUCAUUUAGAGGAAGGAGAAGUCGUAACA